rnacentral:rRNA from 1 species
CACGUAGGCACCAAGCGUUGUCCGGAUUUAUUGGGCGUAAAGAGCUCGUAGGCGGUUCGGUAAGUCGGGUGUGAAAACUUUGGGCUCAACCCAAGGCCUGCACCCGAUACUGCUGUGACUUGAGUCCGGUAGGGGAGUGGGGAAUUCCUGGUGUAGCGGUGGAAUGCGCAGAUAUCAGGAGGAACACCGGUGGCGAAGGCAGCCCCCUGGGCUAACACUGACGCUGAUGCGCGAAAGCUAGGGGAGCGAACGGG